rnacentral:rRNA from 1 species
UACGGAGGGAGCUAGCGUUAUUCGGAAUUACUGGGCGUAAAGCGCACGUAGGCGGUUACUCAAGUCAGAGGUGAAAGCCUGGAGCUCAACUCCAGAACUGCCUUUGAAACUAGGUGACUUGAAUCCAGGAGAGGUGAGUGGAAUUCCGAGUGUAGAGGUGAAAAUCGUAGAUAUUAGGAAAGAAACACCCAGUGGCGAAGGCGGCUCACUGGUCCGGUAUGACGCUG